UUUGAGUUUGAUCCUGGCUCAGGAUGAACGCUAGUAGUAUGCUUUACACAUGCAAGUUUAACGGAACUUUUCGUGGCGAACGGGUGAGGAAAAACAAAAUGCUACCUUUUAGUUCAGAACAAAGAUAUUUUUAAAAUAUGAAAUUCUGAAUAAUUUUAAAGGUUUACGUUUUAAUAACAUAAUUCCGCUAAAAGAUGGGUUUGUGCAAGAUUAGGUAGUUGGUAAAUCUAAUAGCUUACCAAGCCAAUGAUCUUUAGUUGGUCUUUGCGGAUGGCCAACCACACUGGAACUGAAAUAAGGUCCAGGCUGAAAUUUCGGCCAGCAGUGGGGAAUAUUGGAUUAAUGAACGAAAGUUUGAUCCAGCAAUACUAUAUGAAUGAAGACGGCUAGUUUUAGUUGUAAAGUUUUUUCAUGAACGAUGAUAAUGACAUUAGUUUAAGAAACAGUCCCGGCUAAUACUCGUGCCAGCAGCCGCGGUAAAACGGGAGGGGCAAGCGUUAUCCGGCAUAACUGGGCGUAAAGGGUCCGUAGGCGGUAGAAUAAGUUCCUAGUUAAAUUUUAAAGCCUAACUUUAAAAAAGCUUUGAAAACUGUUUUACUUGAGUUUUAUACAGAAGGCUAGAAUUCUAUACGGAAGGGUAAAAUCUGUAGAUAUAUAGAGGAAUAUCAAAAGCGAAGGCAGGUCUUUAGUAAAAACUGACGCUGAGGGACGAAAGUACAGGUAGCAAACAGGAUUAGAUAACCUGGUAGUCUGUACUGUAAACUAUGAGUGCUGUAAUUUAAAUGUCAGUAACAGUGACAAUAAUUUUAAGGCUGAUUUAGAUUUUUAAGCUAACGCUAUAAGCACUCCGCCUGAGAAGUACGAUCGCAAGGUUGGAACUCAAAGGAAUUGACGGGGGCUAAUACUAGCGGUGGAGCAUGUGGUUUAAUUCGAUAAUCCGCGUAAAACCUUACCAGUUCUUGACAUAAAACUAAUACUUACAAUUUUACAUUUUAGGUAAGUGUGUUGUGUUUUGUUUUACAGGUGUUGCACGACUGUCGUCAGUCCGUGUCGUGAGAUGUUUGGUUAAUUCCUUAAACGAGCGCAACUCUUAUUUUUAAUUUAUUAGUUUUCGAUCCAAUUUGCAGUGGAUUGAAAAAAAUUUAAAAAUACAGUCAAUGAAAAGUUGAAGGAGGGUGAGAACGAAGUCAAGUCAAUGUGACCCUGAUGAAUUGGGCUACACACGUGCUACAAUGAAAAUUACAAAAAGUAACAAAAAAUUUAAUUUUGAGUUAACCUAUAAAAGUUUUCCCAGUUCGAAUUGUAAGCUGAAACUCGUUUACAUGAAGUUGGAAUCGCUAGUAAUCGCAAAUAAGCAUGUUGCGGUGAACUGUUAAUUAGCUUUGUACACACCGCCCGUCACAUGCAGAGAAUCAGUUCUGCUUGAAGAUGUGUCUCUGGCAACGUCAAUUGAAGUACUGGUAAUUUGGAUGAAGUCGUAACAAGGUAGCUGUACGGGAACGUGUAGCUGGAAAA
rnacentral:rRNA from 1 species